UGUCUUGUAAUUGGAAUGAUGGGAAUUUAAACCUCUUCCAGAGUAUCAAUUGGAGGGCAAGUCUGGUGCCAGCAGCCGCGGUAAUUCCAGCUCCAAUAGCGUAUAUUAAAAUUGUUGCAGUUAAAAAGCUCGUAGUUGAAUUUCUGCUGCAUUACAUAUCUCUUGUUUGAGUUUGUUUUUGUGGCUUAUUUCGGUUUGAUUUUUUCUUUCCGGAUGAUUACUUUGAGAAAAUUAGAGUGCUCAAAGCAGGCUUUUGCCUUGAAUAGUUUAGCAUGGAAUAAUAAAGUAGGACUUUGGUUCUAUUUUGUUGGUUUUAGGUACCAAAGUAAUGGUUAAUAGGAACAGUUGGGGGCAUUCGUAUUUAACUGUCAGAGGUGAAAUUCUUAGAUUUGUUAAAGACGAACUACUGCGAAAGCAUUUGCCAAGGAUGUUUUCAUUAAUCAAGAACGAAAGUUAGGGGAUCGAAGACGAUCAGAUACCGUCGUAGUCCUAACCAUAAACUAUA
rnacentral:rRNA from 1 species